rnacentral:rRNA from 1 species
CUUUGUUGCCUUGGCGCCGUGCGCCAGUGGCUCGAAACCCGUGAAUCAUUGCUGUCUGAGUACUAUAUAAUAGUUAAAACUUUCAACAACGGAUCUCUUGGUUCUGGCAUCGAUGAAGAACGCAGCGAAAUGCGAUAAGUAAUGUGAAUUGCAGAAUUCAGUGAAUCAUCGAAUCUUUGAACGCACAUUGCGCCCCCUGGCAUUCCGGGGGGCAUGCUUGUUCGAGCGUCAUUACAACCCUCAAGCUCCGCUUGGUGUUGGGCUCGCCUUUCUCGGAAGGCCUGCCUCAAAGUCAGUGGCGGCCGCCGUCCGACCUUCAGCGCAAUAAUGCUCGUCGCUGCAAGGGAAGGGUAGCAAGCGCCGUCAUACAACCCCCACACACAAGGUUGACCUCGGAUCAAGUAGGGAUACCCGCUGAACUUAAGCAUAUCAAUAAGCGGAGG